rnacentral:tRNA from 3 species
GCCCGGGUGGCGGAACGGCAUACGCAGGCGGCUUAAAACCGCCCGCCCGAAAGGGCUUACGGGUUCGAGUCCCGUCCCGGGUA